GUGAGUUUGGAUGGAUGGAUUGUUAGCAGACCGGUUAACAAAAUGAAUGGAUGGAUGAAUGAUUCGCCGGGUAAAUUGUAUGCAUGGUAUAAGCGAAGUUUGUGUACCACUAGUUGUUGCUUGGCUUCGUGGUAAUUGCUGUUAUAGUCGAUUUCUGUUGAAGCAGGACAAGAUUGGGAGAAAAAGCAUUAAAGAGAGAAAGAAAGAUUUUUCUUGACUCUGCUGCUGUUGUGUUGCUCUUGUUUUUCUCGGAUGCUUGGAUGAAUGGUGCUUGUGCUGCAUUCAUUGGUGGCGUUAUAAGAAAGAUGGGGGCAGGCGAGCAACAACGACGACGAAUUCAAAUAAUAAAUUCCUGGUAUUUUAAUUUAGAGCGAAAACCAAAUUAUGAUGAAACGCACAGAGGCAGCAGUUUCCAAAGGUCCAUAACGGAUCUGAAGCCCGCCAUCAGUAAGCCAGCCAGCAAUUCAGCCAAGGCAAGCAUCCUUCCACCAGAGCCAAGUCAAGCCAGCCAACAGCCAAUGCUUGCAAACUUCGUUCGUUGUUAAUGAAAUUGUAUCUUGGAGGAUGUGUGUCUGGUAGAUUCGAUUGAAAUGCCAUUUAUAAGGAUUCGUCCGGUGUGGGAGCGUUAACUUGAAUUUUUUUAAUGAUUUCAAUUCUAACUAAAUUGAGAUUUUUUUUGUUAUUACUGAAAGGCACUAUAAAACCUUGAAACAAAAAGCAAACAGAAGAAAGGCGUUGCGUUAAUACGCAAAAUUCCAAAAACAUUCAUACACCUACAUAAGCGCAUGAAUACUUUGUGCGUCACAUUCUUCAAGUACCUGCGGCCAUUGCGUUGUAAUCCAACAUUGUCCACUUUAGAACAUACUUUUGUUUCGUCCGCCUCCUACACAUUGUCGUUUGAAGCACACACAAGGUAAUAUGAAAAACAAGCUCUUUACCCGGUAUCCCUUUAUAAGCAAACAAAGGAUAAUGAAUGAGAUAGGAAUCCCAAAGUCGACUUUUGACUAAUUGAUUAGUCGACUUUUCGCGUAAAAAAGUCAAGGUCGACUUUCAAUGAAUAAAAAGACCAAAAAUCGAUUUUGAAGUCGAAUAGUCGAAAAGAAAGCUGCACAGAAAUACAAGAAUUGUUUCCAAAUUUUCUGAGAUGCAUUUGGGUACUUUUUUUUCAAGUGGUACGAUUCAUCGCUCUUUGGUUUAUUCUUGUUGCCAUAAAUAUUUUUUUUUUUUAUUGAAAAAUUAUUUAAACAUUUAAACAGAAAGUAAAACUUGGUAAUAGCGUUAUAAGGUUGCAUGGAUUUGAUGAUGAUUUGAUGAUCUUCGGCAGCGGUAUUCGUGCCAUAUCCAAGCAAAAUUUUAGAGAUAACAUCCUUAUAGGUGUAAGAUUCGGCUUAAUAGUCUUA